rnacentral:rRNA from 1 species
AUGAAUGUGCUAAGCUGGAACUGUCGGGGAAGAGGGAAUCCCCGGCCAGUUCGUGAGUUAGCGACGAUCUCACAGUCGCAUUCCCCGAACUUGUUGUUUCUGUGUGAGACUAGGCAGAAAGCUGAAAAGAUGAAACGGAUCCGUGGUCGCCUUGGUUUGAAGGGUUUCACGAGUGUGGAUAGUAAUGGGAUGAGUGGUGGUUUGGCUUUGUUCUGGCAUGAGUCU